rnacentral:rRNA from 1 species
UGGGGAAUAUUGCACAAUGGGCGAAAGCCUGAUGCAGCAACGCCGCGUGAGUGAUGAAGGUCUUCGGAUUGUAAAGCUCUGUCUUUUGGGACGAUAAUGACGGUACCAAAGGAGGAAGCCACGGCUAACUACGUGCCAGCAGCCGCGGUAAUACGUAGGUGGCGAGCGUUGUCCGGAUUUACUGGGCGUAAAGGGUGCGUAGGCGGAUGUUUAAGUGAGAUGUGAAAUACCCGGGCUUAACUUGGGUGCUGCAUUUCAAACUGGAUAUCUAGAGUGCAGGAGAGGAGAAUGGAGUUCCUAGUGUAGCGGUGAAAUGCGUAGAGAUUAGGAAGAACACCAGUGGCGAAGGCGAUUCUCUGGACUGUAACUGACGCUGAGGCACGAAAGCGUGGGUAGCAAACAGGAUUAGAUACCCUGGUAGUCCACGCCGUAAACGAUGAGUACUAGGUGUAGGAGGUAUCGACCCCUUCUGUGCCGCAGUAAACACAUUAAGUACUCCGCCUGGGAAGUACGAUCGCAAGAUUAAAACUCUAAAGUGAAUUGACGGGGUC